rnacentral:rRNA from 1 species
UACGGAGGGAGCUAGCGUUAUUCGGAAUUACUGGGCGUAAAGCGUACGUAGGCGGCUUUGCAAGUUAGAGGUGAAAGCCUGGAGCUCAACUCCAGAACUGCCUUUAAAACUGCAUCGCUUGAAUCCAGGAGAGGUGAGUGGAAUUCCGAGUGUAGAGGUGAAAUUCGUAGAUAUUCGGAAGAACACCAGUGGCGAAGGCGGCUCACUGGACUGGUAUUGAUGCUGAGGUACGAAAGCGUGGGGAGCAAACAGG